ensembl:lncRNA
AUGUUCAUUCUCUGUAACCUUUUCAGCCUUAUGAGCCCACCAGUUCUUUGUCGCAGGCAGAUGGCAUUUGUAGCACAAGUUCCAAUGAAUCAUCUGAGCAACGGUGUUAUGCCUCUGCUUGUAGUCUGUCUGUGUGAUCUUCUUGCAGCAGCUGAGGAUGUGAUCUAUUGUUUCAUCUGCUUCCUUGCAGAGUCUACAUUUGGGAUCUGUCGUCGACUUUUCAAUUUUGGCUUUGAUGGCAUUGGUUCCAAUGGCUUGUUCUUGGGCUGCCAGAAUCAGGUCCUCCGUCUCCUUUUUCAAAGUUCCAUUUGUGAGCCACAGCCAUGUUUUUUCUUUGUCAAUUUGGAACAGUCCAUGGAGAGCCUUCUUUCGCCAGUUUUCUCUUCUGCUCUGGAUUGUGUUUUUACGCUUUCAUCAUAUGGUUUAACAAUCUGGAGGACGCCUGCUCUCGAUCACUGUUUGGUACCAUGGGUUUUGAUGCCGUCUCUCAUCAGUCCAUACCUAUGUUUUAAGUCCAAGUGUCCUCUCAGCUUCACGUUUGCCUUGUUGCAAUGAGGGAGAAGGACUUCUUUGCAAUAGAUUCCAUUCAUAAAAUUAUCUAAAAUAAUUUAUAUCAUUGCCUUCAUGCUAUGUGUAUAAUAUGUAUAUGAAACAUAAAUAAAAUUUGCAUUUAGACUUGGGUCCUUUCUCCAAAAUAUUUCAUUGUGUAUAUAUGUGUAAAUUCAGGCAUUCCAACAUCUGGAAAAUAAUCUAAAUUCAAAGCACUUUUGUGUAUUUAAAUAUGGGAUACUCAACCUGUGUUAGGUUUUAAUUCCUGUAAUGUUAGUGCUGUAACAACUCAUGUUGUUAGCUGCCUUUGGUCCCACUUGAGAGAAAUGAGGGCUAUGCAUUAAUUCAUUAAUUAAGUACUGUAUGGGUGUGUUCUUUUAAGCAAUGUAUAAUUUGUAAGAUAUAAACAACAUAAUAAUAAAUACAAUGUAUAAUAAAUGUUCCCCCUUCUAAUAUACAACAUAUUCAGUGUCUGUUGAACACGCAGAGAUAAUGUCACAGCUGUUGAUUUCAUUUCCACCAAGGCAAUUAUCAGCAACUAAAGCAAAAUUUAACUUGUUCCUUUCUGAAGUACAAGAGACUGAAUCAGAAACAAAGAAAGGUGAGAACAAAUUGCAGACCUAAGCUCUCUUGUGUUUUAAGUGUUUAAUGCACUUACUACCUAAACACGAAAUACAACAGUAAAAUCUCUUUCAAGGUUAUUGGGGGAAAGGAGUGUGAUUAAUCUGCCACUUGAAACUGACUCUAAUCUAUAAUGAUUUUUCUGUAUGGUGGCAUGCAUGUUCUGUGACAUUUUGGAUAGAUAAAGGAUGGUGUCUCUACACCAAACAAAUGUGGCUCUUGCUAUCAGAUCAAUGUGGACAGACUUAGAGGCCUCUUGGGGGGCAACUGAUAUGUAAUGGAUUGUAUGACAAUAGAUGAUAGAAGCAGAGCCAGUGUUAUCUCUGUAUCAGAGAUUAAAUGGGUGCUCACACAGCUGAUUAACCAGGGAAAACCUAGCAUCUUUUCCAUGCUUUUUGUCAUCAGAGCAGGGUUGAAAAACGAAUUAGUAACACAGUCUCUCAGUAGUGGAUAUUUAAAUAGAUUUUCUUUCAACUCAAAGGUUUCUCCAAGUUCAGCCAAUGAAUCCAUGAUUUCUGUUAGCAGUGUUAGGGCCUUUCGACACAAUCACCCCAGGUGCGCUAUCGCUGAAUUUGUGUCAAACUUGGCAAAGUUGAUGGCAUAUCUAGGUAUGCUAAGGUGAAAGAACAGUAGAAUCACAGCAGUAAGUGUCAAGAAGAAAGCAACACAGACCUUUGGUAGGGAAUUUGCUGGUAUAUCAUCAGCAGUCAAGGUCACAGGAACUAAAGAAUGAACAUGACCUGGUGGAACAAUCAAAUUGGAGACUGUGUCAUAUUAUUUUUCUAACAUCUUUAACCUCAGAUUAACUUGGAAGACAAAGCUGGAGGUACAAUUAGUAGAGAUCAGGGAUAGAAUGACAGUUUGGAUAGAUGGUGUCCUGCCCACCUAAUUCUAGAAUCUCCUGCUAACCAUGGGGUACAAAGUAUACUUUGUACAAGGGAUGUAGUAAAUUAGAUAUACAGUAGAGUCUCACUUAUCCAACAUAAAUGGGCCAGCAGAAUAUUGGAUAAGCAAAAAUGUUGGAUAAUAAGGAGGGAUUAAGGAAAAGCCUAUUAAAUGCCAAAUUAAAUUAUGAUUUUACAAAUUAAGCACCAAAACAUCAUAUUUUACAACAAAUGGACAGAAAAGCAGUUUAAUACACGGUAACGUUAUGUAGUAAUUACUGUAGUUAUGAAUUUAGCACCAAAACAUCACAAUGUAUUGAAAAUAUUGACUACAAAAAGGCAGACUGAGUUGGAUAAUCCAGAACUACUGUAGUUGCCUCUGGUGCCUCCACUCCACUAUCUCCAAUUGGCCUCAGGUGCCAUUGGUUGAAAGUCACAAUCUGGAACCUCUUAAAGCAGUUGCACUGUGGAACAGUGUUGUGGAGUACUUAGGUCAGGAAAAACCAAGAUCAAGAACUACAAAAUCUAGCCAAGUAUCUAGAAAAAGGGGAACUCCAUGAGCACGCAGAAGGUCAAAUGAGCUCUUGAAGCUUGUGCUAAAACAAAAGUUUGUCCUGGAACUUCAAAUACUUCUAUCUCAUCCUGGUCAGGCAAAAACAAUGGGGUUUCAGGAGUUAUAGGAAAUACUGAGAAGAAAGAAUGAAGGAAACAGGAAAAAGCUCAAUGUUGAAGAUACAGACUCAAAAGACAAUUACCACUAUCAUUAUCACCACUGUCAUGACUAAUACUUAAAACAAUAUUCACAUUAUUUUAGUUUUGGAAAUGUGCAGGAAGUUGUUACCAAACACAUAGUUGCUAUUGCCUUUGCUGUUAGUAUGAUUACUGACAUGUCUGGAACAGGUCUGGGGCCAGUAGUCAAUUAUAUUAUACACAGAAGCUGGCCUCCAACCACUAUGUGGGCUUUUUCCCAUUUCCCGGAGUGAUGUGCAGCACCAGCACUCCGGAGGCAUAACAGGUAAAAAAAGGGGGGAAGUGACAGCAGUAGAGGUAAUCAAUUACUGCCCCAGGGAGGUCAAUUGGCCAGCCAUGCCCUUGGGGUGUUUUUAGCAGCCCCCCCCCAUUCCGAAUGGAGCUGAUUUUACCAGUGCAAUGUGGUUUACAUUUGUAGCUCACUGAAGUGCAUUAAGAGGUUUAACUCUGACUUCCCCCAACUUUAUUUAAUGCACUUUACUGGCCUUGAUUUAUGCUGCAGUGCAUUUUGGCAGUAUGCAUUUUGUAGCUGCUGCAGUUUCAAGUCGGCUUGAAGCUGCAAUAAAUGAUCAGAGUAGAUGUGUCCAAAGGCACAUCACAAUAGCAGUUAAGGUCAUGAUUCAGUUCCAUCUGGU